rnacentral:rRNA from 2 species
UAAUACAUGCAUGUUGAACGGAAUAUUUUAGUUCGCUAAAAUAUUUAGUAGCAAAUGGGUGAGUAACACGUACCUAACCUACCUUUUGGACUGGGAUAACCAUUGGAAACAGUGGCUAAUACCGGAUAUGAUAAAAAUUUGCAUGAAUUUUUAUUCAAAGGAGCUUUCAAGCUUCACCAAGAAAUGGGGGUGCGCAACAUUAGUUAGUUGGUAGGGUAAAAGCCUACCAAGACGAUGAUGUUUAGCGGGGCCAAGAGGUUGUACCGCCACACUGGGAUUGAGAUACGGCCCAGACUCCUACGGGAGGCAGCAGUAAGGAAUAUUCCACAAUAAGCGAAAGCUUGAUGGAGCGACACAGCGUGCAGGAUGAAGUCUUUCGGGAUGUAAACUGCUGUUGUAAGGGAAGAAAAAACUAGAUAGGAAAUGCUCUAGUCUUGACGGUACCUUAUUAGAAAGCGACGGCAAACUAUGUGCCAGCAGCCGCGGUAAUACAUAGGUCGCAAGCGUUAUCCGGAAUUAUUGGGCGUAAAGCGUCCGUAGGUUUUUUGUUAAGUUUAAAGUUAAAUGCUAAAGCUCAACUUUAGUCCGCUUUAGAUACUGGCAAAAUAGAAUUAUGAAGAGGUUAGCGGAAUUCCUAGUGGAGUGGUGGAAUACGUAGAUAUUAGGAAGAACACCAAUAGGCGAAGGCAGCUAACUGGUCAUAUAUUGACACUAAGGGACGAAAGCGUGGGGAGCAAACAGGAUUAGAUACCCUGGUAGUCCACGCCGUAAACGAUGAUCAUUAGUUGGUGGCAAAAGUCACUAACACAGCUAACGCGUUAAAUGAUCCGCCUGAGUAGUAUGCUCGCAAGAGUGAAACUUAAAGGAAUUGACGGGAACCCGCACAAGCGGUGGAGCAUGUGGUUUAAUUUGAUGAUACGCGUAGAACCUUACCCACUCUUGACAUUCUCGCAAAACUAUAGAGAUAUAGCCGAGGCUAACGAGAUCACAGAUGGUGCAUGGUUGUCGUCAGCUCGUGUCGUGAGAUGUUAGGUUAAGUCCUGCAACGAGCGCAACCCUUUUCUUUAGUUGCUAACAUUUAGUUGAGAACCCUAAAGAUACUGCCGGCGCAAGCCGGAGGAAGGUGGGGACGACGUCAAAUCAUCAUGCCUCUUACGAGUGGGGCAACACACGUGCUACAAUGGCUACUACAAAGAGCAGCAAAACAGUGAUGUCAAGCUAAUCUCAAAAAAGUAGUCUCAGUUCGGAUUGAAGUCUGCAACUCGACUUCAUGAAGUCGGAAUCGCUAGUAAUCGCAGGUCAGCUAUACUGCGGUGAAUACGUUCUCGGGUUUUGUACACACCGCCCGUCACACCAUGGGAGUUGGUAAUGCCCAAAGUCGGUGAGUUAACUUCGGAGACCAUUGCCUAAGGCAGGACCGAUGACUGGGGUGAAGUCGUAACAAGGUAUCCCUACGAGAACGUGGG